AGAGAGAGACAUGCGCGCAUAUCAAUAAGCGGAGGAAAAGAAACUAACAAGGAUUCCCCUAGUAACGGCGAGUGAAGCGGGAAGAGCUCAAAUUUGAAAUCUUAAAGGGUUUCCCUUUACGAAUUGUAGUUUAAAGAAGUGUUUUCUGUUGAGGUUUUGGUAAAAGUUCUUUGGAAUAGGACAUCAUAGAGGGUGAGAAUCCCGUAUUUGACCUUUACUUUCAACUUUGUGAUACACUUUCAAAGAGUCGGAUUGUUUGGGAAUGCAGUCCAAAAUGGGCUGGUAAAUUUCAUCUAAAGCUAAAUAUUGGCGAGAGACCGAUAGCGAACAAGUACCGUGAGGGAAAGAUGAAAAGAACUUUGAAAAGAGAGUUAAACAGUACGUGAAAUUGUCAAAAGGGAAGCGUUUGACACCAGUGUUGUUUUUCUGAAAAUCAAUUAAAGAACUGUUUAUGCUAAGCUGUUUAGACUUUAUCAGCUAAUCUGUUUAGUUUUGAGCUUUUCUUUAAUGCACUUUUCAGUUAACAAGUCAACAUCAAUUUCUUUUGCUGUAAAAAAGCUUGAGGAAGGUGGCUUGAGAUUCGUCUUAAGUGUUUAUAGCCUCUUGCCUAUGCAGUCGGAGAGAUUGAGGUCUGCAGCGUAGAUCCUUCGGGGCUAAAUGCAUUUGUGCUAAGUUAUAGCAUUUUAUAGACAACUUGUUGACUAUGAUUUGUCUUGUAGCUUACUCACUUAUGUUAUUUUACCUACGCUUAGGAUGUUGACGCAUGAGAUAUACGC
rnacentral:rRNA from 1 species